GACGAACGCUGGCGGCGUGCUUAACACAUGCAAGUCGAACGGAAAGGCCCUGCUUGCAGGGUGCUCGAGUGGCGAACGGGUGAGUAACACGUGGGUGAUCUGCCCCUUACUUUGGGAUAAGCCUGGGAAACUGGGUCUAAUACUGGAUAGGACCAUGCUGUAGGUGGUGUGGUGGAAAGAUUAGUUUCGGUCAGGGAUGAGCUCGCGGCCUAUCAGCUUGUUGGUGGGGUAAUGGCCUACCAAGGCGUCGACGGGUAGCCGGCCUGGGAGGGUGGACGGCCACAUUGGGACUGGGAUACGGCCCAGACUCCUACGGGAGGCAGCAGUGGGGAAUAUUGCACAAUGGGCGCAAGCCUGAUGCAGCGACGCCGCGUGGGGGAUGACGGCCUUCGGGUUGUAAACUCCUUUCAGCCAUGACGAAGCCCUUGUGGUGACGGUAGUGGUAGAAGAAGCACCGGCUAACUACGUG
rnacentral:rRNA from 1 species